GCAGGCUGAAACUCGCCUGUAUGAAGAUGGAGUUGCUAGUAAUCGCGAAUCAGAAUGUCGCGGUGAAUACGUUCCCGGGUCUUGUACACACCGCCCGUCACACCAUGGGAGCCGGUAAUACCCGAAGUCAGUAGUCCAACCUCGUGAGGACGCUGCCGAAGGUAGGAUUGGCGACGUGGGGUGAAGUCGUAACAAGGUAUC
rnacentral:rRNA from 1 species